GAUGAACGCUAGCGGCAGGCCUAAUACAUGCAAGUCGAACGGUGUAGCAAUACACAGUGGCGCACGGGUGUGUAACACGUAUGCAACCUACCUUACAUUGGGGGAUAGCCUUUCGAAAGGGAUAUUAAUACCGCAUAAGACAGUAACUAGGCAUCUAGUAGCUGUUAAAGAUUUAUCGAUGUAAGCUGGGCAUGCGUCCAAUUAGUUAGUUGGCGAGGUAAUGGCUCACCAAGACGAUGAUUGGUAGGGGAACUGAGAGGUCAAUCCCCCACACUGGCACUGAGAUACGGGCCAGACUCCUACGGGAGGCAGCAGUAGGGAAUAUUGGGCAAUGGGCGCAAGCCUGACCCAGCCAUGCCGCGUGCAGGAAGAAGGCGUUAUGCGUUGUAAACUGCUUUUAUACAGGAAGAAACGACCCUUGCGAGGGGCAUUGACGGUACUGUAUGAAUAAGCACCGGCUAACUCCGUGCCAGCCGCCGCUGUAAGAC
rnacentral:rRNA from 1 species